rnacentral:rRNA from 1 species
UGCAGUCGAGCGAACAGAUAAGGAGCUUGCUUCCUUUGACGUUAGCGGCGGACGGGUGAGUAACACGUGGGUAACCUACCUAUAAGACUGGGAUAACUUCGGGAAACCGGAGCUAAUACCGGAUAACAUUUGGAACCGCAUGGUUCUAAAGUGAAAGAUGGUUUUGCUAUCACUUAUAGAUGGACCCGCGCCGUAUUAGCUAGUUGGUAAGGUAACGGCUUACCAAGGCGACGAUACGUAGCCGACCUGAGAGGGUGAUCGGCCACACUGGAACUGAGACACGGUCCAGACUCCUACGGGAGGCAGCAGUAGGGAAUCUUCCGCAAUGGGCGAAAGCCUGACGGAGCAACGCCGCGUGAGUGAUGAAGGGUUUCGGCUCGUAAAACUCUGUUAUUAGGGAAGAACAAAUGUGUAAGUAACUGUGCACGUCUUGACGGUACCUAAUCAGAAAGCCACGGCUAACUACGUGCCAGCAGCCGCGGUAAUACGUAGGUGGCAAGCGUUAUCCGGAAUUAUUGGGCGUAAAGCGCGCGUAGGCGGUUUCUUAAGUCUGAUGUGAAAGCCCACGGCUCAACCGUGGAGGGUCAUUGGAAACUGGGAAACUUGAGUGCAGAAGAGGAAAGUGGAAUUCCAUGUGUAGCGGUGAAAUGCGCAGAGAUAUGGAGGAACACCAGUGGCGAAGGCGACUUUCUGGUCUGUAACUGACGCUGAUGUGCGAAAGCGUGGGGAUCAAACAGGAUUAGAUACCCUGGUAGUCCACGCCGUAAACGAUGAGUGCUAAGUGUUAGGGGGUUUCCGCCCCUUAGUGCUGCAGCUAACGCAUUAAGCACUCCGCCUGGGGAGUACGACCGCAAGGUUGAAACUCAAAGGAAUUGACGGGGACCCGCACAAGCGGUGGAGCAUGUGGUUUAAUUCGAAGCAACGCGAAGAACCUUACCAAAUCUUGACAUCCUUUGAAAACUCUAGAGAUAGAGCCUUCCCCUUCGGGGGACAAAGUGACAGGUGGUGCAUGGUUGUCGUCAGCUCGUGUCGUGAGAUGUUGGGUUAAGUCCCGCAACGAGCGCAACCCUUAAGCUUAGUUGCCAUCAUUAAGUUGGGCACUCUAGGUUGACUGCCGGUGACAAACCGGAGGAAGGUGGGGAUGACGUCAAAUCAUCAUGCCCCUUAUGAUUUGGGCUACACACGUGCUACAAUGGACAAUACAAAGGGCAGCUAAACCGCGAGGUCAUGCAAAUCCCAUAAAGUUGUUCUCAGUUCGGAUUGUAGUCUGCAACUCGACUACAUGAAGCUGGAAUCGCUAGUAAUCGUAGAUCAGCAUGCUACGGUGAAUACGUUCCCGGGUCUUGUACACACCGCCCGUCACACCACGAGAGUUUGUAACACCCGAAGCCGGUGGAGUAACCAUUUAUGGAGCUAGCC